GGAGAGAUGGCCGAGUGGCUGAAGGCGGCGGUUUGCUAAACCGUUAUACGGCCUUUAAAGCCGUAUCGAGGGUUCGAAUCCCUCUCUCUCCGCCA
rnacentral:tRNA from 1 species